GCUUCCACUGAGAAGAUAGUGGCGAACGGGACGAGUAACAACGUGGGUAACCUGCCCAUAAGAGGGGGAUAACAUCCGGAAACGGGUGCUAAUACCGCAUAGUUUUCUUGAUCGCAUGAUCGGGAAAGGAAAGACGGCCUUUGUGCUGUCGCUUAUGGAUGGAACCCGCGGCGUAUUAGUUAGUUGGUGAGGUAACGGCUCACCAAGACGAUGAUACGUAGCCGACCUGAGAGGGUGAUCGGCCACAUUGGGACUGAGACACGGCCCAAACUCCUACGGGAGGCAGCAGUAGGGAAUCUUCCGCAAUGGACGAAAGUCUGACGGAGCAACGCCGCGUGAGUGAAAGAAGGUUUUCGGAUCGUAAAACUCUGUUGUCAGAGAAGAACAAGUUGGAGAGUAACUGCUCCAGCCUUGACGGUAUCUGACCAGAAAGCCACGGCUAACUACGUGCCAGCCGCCGC
rnacentral:rRNA from 1 species